AGUGAACGCCGGCGGUAGGCCUAACACAUGCAAGUCGAACGGCAGCACAGUAAGAGCUUGCUCUUACGGGUGGCGAGUGGCGGACGGGUGAGGAAUACAUCGGAAUCUACUUUUUCGUGGGGGAUAACGUAGGGAAACUUACGCUAAUACCGCAUACGACCUACGGGUGAAAGCAGGGGACCUUCGGACCUUGCGCGAUUGAAUGAGCCGAUGUCGGAUUAGCUAGUUGGCGGGGUAAAGGCCCACCAAGGCGACGAUCCGUAGCUGGUCUGAGAGGAUGAUCAGCCACACUGGAACUGAGACACGGUCCAGACUCCUACGGGAGGCAGCAGUGGGGAAUAUUGGACAAUGGGCGCAAGCCUGAUCCAGCCAUACCGCGUGGGUGAAGAAGGCCUUCGGGUUGUAAAGCCCUUUUGUUGGGAAAGAAAAGCAGCAGGUUAAUACCCCGCUGUUCUGACGGUACCCAAAGAAUAAGCACCGGCUAACUUCGUG
rnacentral:rRNA from 1 species